rnacentral:lncRNA from 1 species
CUAGAUUCAAGAAUUUACUCGAAAGAGGUAUGAAACCUAAAUGAAAUCUGAUCUUGAAGGCCAUGUUAAAUGUUAUGAUUUUGUGUUAAAACAUGUAGUAUGUAGUAUAUAUUGAUGAUCUAGGUUGCAAGAUGUUAGAUCCAUAACAUAUAGAGGCUCGGAUUUGAAGUUUUUAAAAAUCUAGAAAAAAUUUAUAAUAUGUCU